AGUGCCACGCAAGACUGCAAUUAUCUGCAUUGCAUCGUUUGAAGCCAUCCACCUUUAUCGAUUGAAUUUUCUGAAUAUCGUUGAAUGUUUAUUAAAGAGCCAACAUGAAAUGCAAUUGCUGCUUUGCCGACCAUCCGGAAUGGAAAAUCCUGUCUGGAUCUGCAUGUUUGACCGGAUUAGGGAAAAAAUCAGGAACAUUGCCGAGGAAGCACUGUCAAUCGUGGCUCAAAGAACGAUCGUAAAAUCUAUGUGAGUUUUAUAUUAAAUAUU